ACGGGGGGAGCAAGCGUUGUUCGGAUUCAUUGGGCGUAAAGGGCGCGUAGGCGGCUUGGCAAGUCCGUCAUGAAAUGUACCGGUUCAACCGGGGCACUGUGUCGGAAACUGCCUGGCUUGAGGUCGAGGGAGGAGAGUGGAAUUCCUGGUGCAGCGGUGAAAUGCGUAGAGACUGGGAGGAACACCAGUGGCGAAGGCGGCUACCUGGACGGGUACUGACGCUGAGGCGCGAAAGCUAGGGUAGCAAACAGGA
rnacentral:rRNA from 1 species